UCUAAAGUCGAGACACCAUUCUGGCAUCUGACAUUAGAAGAUCUAUUUUAUUUCUUAUUGUUUAGCUAUAUAAAUCUCCUUAACGCUUCUUCAAAUCUACUCCUUAAACCUCGCAGUAGACAUUGCAUUCGCAUCCCGAGUGUGCUUCUCCACGUACUAGCUAAUGCUGGAUAUGUAUCGGGUCCAAAGUCCUAACAAUUCCCCACUUUCCAAGUGAGUGUUCCACCCAUUGACUCAAUUACUAAUGUUAUCUCAACUUAUCCUUCACCAUUCUUAUAUUCAAGUUUAAUAAACCCUAUAGCUCUG
rnacentral:lncRNA from 1 species